UGAACGCUGGCGGCAGGCCUAGCACAUGCAAGUCGAGCGGAUGAAGGGAGCUUGCUCCUGGAUUCAGCGGCGGACGGGUGAGUAAUGCCUAGGAAUCUGCCUGGUAGUGGGGGAUAACGUCCGGAAACGGGCGCUAAUACCGCAUACGUCCUGAGGGAGAAAGUGGGGGAUCUUCGGACCUCACGCUAUCAGAUGAGCCUAGGUCGGAUUGGCUAGUUGGUGGGGUAAAGGCCUACCAAGGCGACGAUCCGUAACUGGUCUGAGAGGAUGAUCAGUCACACUGGAACUGAGACACGGCCCCGACUCCUACGGGAGGCAGCAGUGGGGAAUAUUGGACCAUGGGCGGAAGCCAGAUCCAACCCAGCCGCGUGUGUGGAGAAGGUCUUCCGAUUGUAAAGCACUUUUAGGUGGGAAGAAAGGCAGGAAAUUUAUACCUUGCUGUUUUGACGUUACCAACAGAAUAAGCACCGGCUAACUUCGUG
rnacentral:rRNA from 1 species